GGGCAUAUGGUGUAGCUGGUUAUCACGCUCGCUUUGCAUCACAGUUGCGAGUGGUCUCCGGUUCGAUUCCGGAUGUGUCCA
rnacentral:tRNA from 1 species